AUUGGGUUUGGUUCGGGCGGAU
rnacentral:miRNA from 1 species